CCCUUAGAUGUUCUGGGCCGCACGCGUGCUACACUGAGUGGAUCAGCGGGUCAGGUUGCGCGAAAGCGUUUCCUAAUCUUUAAAUCCGCUCGUGAUGGGGAUUGACGGUUGCAAUUUUCUGUCAUGAACGAGGAAUACCUUGUAAGCGCGGGUCAUCAUCCCGCGCUGAAUACGUCCCUGCCCUUUGUACACACCGCCCGUCGCUCCUACCGAUUGAGUGGUCCGGUGGGGCUUUGGGAUCUGAGCGGAAAGAGCGUUUCGCCGUUUCUGCUCGGAAAACUCAGUCGAACCUUAUCAUUUAGAGGAAGGAGAAGUCGUAACA
rnacentral:rRNA from 1 species